GAUGAACGCUGGCGGCGUGCCUAAUACAUGCAAGUCGAGCGAACGGACGAGAAGCUUGCUUUUCUGAUGUUAGCGGCGGACGGGUGAGUAACACGUGGAUAACCUACCUAUAAGACUGGGAUAACUUCGGGAAACCGGAGCUAAUACCGGAUAAUAUUUUGAACCGCAUGGUUCAAAAGUGAAAGACGGUCUUGCUGUCACUUAUAGAUGGAUCCGCGCUGCAUUAGCUAGUUGGUAAGGUAACGGCUUACCAAGGCAACGAUGCAUAGCCGACCUGAGAGGGUGAUCGGCCACACUGGAACUGAGACACGGUCCAGACUCCUACGGGAGGCAGCAGUAGGGAAUCUUCCGCAAUGGGCGAAAGCCUGACGGAGCAACGCCGCGUGAGUGAUGAAGGUCUUCGGAUCGUAAAACUCUGUUAUUAGGGAAGAACAUAUGUGUAAGUAACUGUGCACAUCUUGACGGUACCUAAUCAGAAAGCCACGGCUAACUACGUGCCAGCAGCCGCGGUAAUACGUAGGUGGCAAGCGUUAUCCGGAAUUAUUGGGCGUAAAGCGCGCGUAGGCGGUUUUUUAAGUCUGAUGUGAAAGCCCACGGCUCAACCGUGGAGGGUCAUUGGAAACUGGAAAACUUGAGUGCAGAAGAGGAAAGUGGAAUUCCAUGUGUAGCGGUGAAAUGCGCAGAGAUGUGGAGGAACACCAGUGGCGAAGGCGACUUUCUGGUCUGUAACUGACGCUGAUGUGCGAAGGCGUGGGGAUCAAACAGGAUUAGAUACCCUGGUAGUCCACGCCGUAAACGAUGAGUGCUAAGUGUUAGGGGGUUUCCGCCCCUUAGUGCUGCAGCUAACGCAUUAAGCACUCCGCCUGGGGAGUACGACCGCAAGGUUGAAACUCAAAGGAAUUGACGGGGGCCCGCACAAGCGGUGGAGCAUGUGGUUUAAUUCGAAGCAACGCGAAGAACCUUACCAAAUCUUGACAUCCUUUGACAACUCUAGAGAUAGAGCCUUCCCCUUCGGGGGACAAAGUGACAGGUGGUGCAUGGUUGUCGUCAGCUCGUGUCGUGAGAUGUUGGGUUAAGUCCCGCAACGAGCGCAACCCUUAAGCUUAGUUGCCAUCAUUAAGUUGGGCACUCUAAGUUGACUGCCGGUGACAAACCGGAGGAAGGUGGGGAUGACGUCAAAUCAUCAUGCCCCUUAUGAUUUGGGCUACACACGUGCUACAAUGGACAAUACAAAGGGCAGCGAAACCGCGAGGUCAAGCAAAUCCCAUAAAGUUGUUCUCAGUUCGGAUUGUAGUCUGCAACUCGACUACAUGAAGCUGGAAUCGCUAGUAAUCGUAGAUCAGCAUGCUACGGUGAAUACGUUCCCGGGUCU
rnacentral:rRNA from 1 species